GAUGAACGCUGGCGGCGUGCCUAAUACAUGCAAGUCGAGCGAACAGACGAGGAGCUUGCUCCUCUGACGUUAGCGGCGGACGGGUGAGUAACACGUGGAUAACCUACCUAUAAGACUGGGAUAACUUCGGGAAACCGGAGCUAAUACCGGAUAAUAUAUUGAACCGCAUGGUUCAAUAGUGAAAGACGGUUUUGCUGUCACUUAUAGAUGGAUCCGCGCCGCAUUAGCUAGUUGGUAAGGUAACGGCUUACCAAGGCGACGAUGCGUAGCCGACCUGAGAGGGUGAUCGGCCACACUGGAACUGAGACACGGUCCAGACUCCUACGGGAGGCAGCAGUAGGGAAUCUUCCGCAAUGGGCGAAAGCCUGACGGAACAACGCCGCGUGAGUGAUGAAGGUCUUCGGAUCGUAAAACUCUGUUAUUAGGGAAGAACAAAUGUGUAAGUAACUAUGCACGUCUUGACGGUACCUAAUCAGAAAGCCACGGCUAACUACGUG
rnacentral:rRNA from 1 species